rnacentral:rRNA from 1 species
GCCUGACCUCGGAUCAGACGUGAUUACCCGCUGAAUUUAAGCAUAUUAUUAAGCGGAGGAAAAGAAACUAACAAGGAUUCCCCUAGUAACGGCGAUAGUGAACGGGGAAGAGCCCAACACCGAAUCCCUUGGCGCAAGUCAACGGGAAAUGUGGUGUUAAGGUAGCCCUUCGUGUCAGUCUAGGCGUCUCAAGUCCACCUGAUUGUGGCUCAAGCCCAGAGAGGGUGUAAGGCCCGUAGAGACGCUCCGACUGAUUCCUGGGGUUUACCUACGAGUCGGCUUGUUUGGGAAUGCAGGCCAAAGCGGGUGGUAAACUCCAUCCAAGGCUAAAUACUGGCACGAGUCCGAUAGCGGACAAGUACCGUGAGGGAAAGUUGAAAAGAACUUUGAAGAGAGAGUUCAAUAGUACGUGAAACCGCUUAGAGGCAAACGGAUGGUGCUCAUACUGGCCUGAGGAAUUCAACUGUGACGGUGGCUGGACGAGCUGGCGUUCCGAUCUCUCUUUUGGGACGGGCGUCGGUUUGGCUAUCAGCUCCGACAUGGUGCACUUUCCUUGGUGCCUCCGCCACGACCGACGACACUGGCUACCCGCGGCUGGGGUAAGGUGACAAACUGCUUCGGCAAUUUGUGUUAUAGACCCCGGCGUCGGACAUGGUUUGGCCAGGACGUCGAGCUUGCGGCGCCCGCUCCUUGUGGGCUCGCAUGUUGGCUAGCUUGGCUGCGCCGAUGCUUGCACUGGACAACCAGUACAGGUGACGGUUGUGGUCUUGUCUCUAGUUGGCCUCUGCGAGUUUGGCGCCUAUAGUCUGUGGUGUACUUGUGGGUAGACUAUCCGACCCGUCUUGAAACACGGACCAAGGAGUCUAACAUGUGCGCGAGUCAUGGGGAUUCUACGAAACCCAAAGGCGCAGUGAAAGUAAAGGCCUGCUUCUCGUAGGCUGAGGUGGGAUCUCGUGCAUCGCGAUUGGCGAGCGCACCACCGGCCCGUCCUAUCUGUCUCUGUCAGUGGGGCGGCGCAAGAGCGUACACGUUGGGACCCGAAAGAUGGUGAACUAUGCUUGCGCAGCUCGAAGUCAGUGGAAACACUGAUGGAGGAGCGCAGCGUUUCUGACGUGCAAAUCGAUCGUCAAACGUGAGUAUAGGGGCGAAAGACUAAUCGAACCAUCUAGUAGCUGGUUCCCUCCGAAGUUUCCCUCAGGAUAGCUGGCACUCGGGAAACAGUUUUAUCCGGUAAAGCGAAUGAUUAGAGGCAUUGGGGUCGAAACGACCUCGACCUAUUCUCAAACUUUAAAUGGGUAAGAUGCUCGUCUCGCUUAAUUGGAGGCGGGCUUCACCUCUCUAUAAACGUGAAUGUGAGUGCCCAGUGGGCCAUUUUUGGUAAGCAGAACUGGCGCUGUGGGAUGAACCAAACGCGCGGUUAAGGCGCCCAAUGCGGACGCUCAUGAGACACCACAAAAGGUGUUGGUCGAUACUGACAGCAGGACGGUGGCCAUGGAAGUCGGAACCCGCUAAGGAGUGUGUAACAACUCACCUGCCGAAUCAACCAGCCCUGAAAAUGGAUGGCGCUGGAGCGUCGGGCCUAUACCGUGCCGUUUGGGGCGAAGCAGACAAAUAAUCUGUGUGGAUGUCCCAACGAGUAGGAGGGUCGCCGUGGUGAGCGCAGAAGGUGCGGCCGUGAGGCCGGCUGGAGCCGCCACGGGCGCAGAUCUUGGUGGUAGUAGCAAUUACUCAAGUGAGAACCUUGAGGACUGAAGUGGAGAAGGGUUCCAUGUGAACAGCAGUUGAACAUGGGUCAGGCGGUCCUAAGCGAUCGGGUAACUCCGUACCUAGACGAGGGUGACAACUAUCACUGAUAAUACUGUGAAGUGUUAUAGCCCUCCGGAGCGAAAGGGAAUCGUGUUAAUAUUCACGACCCUUACCGUGGAGAUCGCCCCUUUCGGGGGGGCAAGUGCGGUAACGCAAACGAACACAGAGACGUCGGCUGGAGCCCCGGGAAGAGUUCUCUUUUCUUUGUAAGGAGCGUACCCCUGGAAUCGGCUUGUCCGGAGAUAGGGGCGUGGCUUCCGUAAAGCAGCGCGGGUCUUGCGCUGUCCGGUGCACUCUAGUCGGCCCUUGAAAAUCUGUGGGAGACAGUGUGAUUUUCACGGUAGGCCGUACCCAUAUCCGCAGCAGGUCUCCAAGGUGAACAGCCUCUAGUCCUAGAACAAUGUAGGUAAGGGAAGUCGGCAAAAUGGAUCCGUAACUUCGGGAAAAGGAUUGGCUCUGAGGGCUGGGUCGGAUGGGCUGGCGUAAGAAGCUGUUCCGGUUUUGGUGAGGACUGGGUGAGGCUUUCGGGCUUUACUCGGACCAUGCCGAGACCAGGCAGUAGACGACGUCAGCUGUGCUUGUCGUGUUUCGGCGCGGCAGCUUCGUCCGGCAACAAACGCCAACAGACAACUGCACGGACUAGGGGGAAUCCGACUGUCUAAUUAAAACAAAGCAUUGCGAUGGCUGUUGCUCGGUGUUGACGCAAUGUGAUUUCUGCCCAGUGCUCUGAAUGUCAAAGUGAAGAAAUUCAAUCAAGCGCGGGGUAAACGGCGGGAGUAACUAUGACUCUCUAUGUCCAGAGGUAGGAGGCAGGCCCCUCUCUGUGAUGCGGGAUGCAGGCAAAUUGAAGGUUUGGGGCACAUUCUGCAGCAGUGUAAUAGGACUUGGGAUAAGAGAGGGGCUAGGCAUGAUAGAAUUGUUGAGUUUGUUGGUAGUCAGGUGGAACGGCUAGGGUUCAAUGUUAUUAAGGAGAAGUCUUUUGCGACUCCUAGGGGGCAUAGACGACCUGAUCUAAUUAUAUAUAAUAAGGAUAGAGUGUGGAUUGCUGACGUCACGAUCUGUGCGGACAGAGGAGCGCGGGGCCUAUGGCCCUCGCGAGGGGACAACAAGAUCAAGUAUUAUACGGACGAUGAUCUAGCGACUGAGGUCGCGAAGGUGGCGGGCCCUGGUGCCCAGAGCGUUGUUGGCCUGGUUUGGAACUGGAGAGGGUGUUGCGAGAAGAAGACGGAUGAGUGGCUCAAGAAGAUGGGUGUGCCGAUCGAGUCUAGAAGGCUGGCUUCGGUCAGAGUGCUGGAAGGCUCGGUCUGGUGCGCGGAGGUGU